UACGGAGGGAGCUAGCGUUGUUCGGAAUUACUGGGCGUAAAGCGCGCGUAGGCGGCUUUGUAAGUUAGAGGUGAAAGCCCGGGGCUCAACCCCGGAAUUGCCUUUAAGACUGCAUCGCUUGAAUCCGGGAGAGGUGAGUGGAAUUCCGAGUGUAGAGGUGAAAUUCGUAGAUAUUCGGAAGAACACCAGUGGCGAAGGCGGCUCACUGGACCGGUAUUGACGCUGAGGUGCGAAAGCGUGGGGAGCGAACAGG
rnacentral:rRNA from 1 species